rnacentral:rRNA from 1 species
GGCGGCAGGCCUAACACAUGCAAGUCGAGCGCAGUCCUUCGGGACCGAGCGGCGGACGGGUUAGUAACGCGUGGGAACAUACCCUUUUCUACGGAAUAGCCUCGGGAAACUGAGAGUAAUACCGUAUAAGCCCUUCGGGGGAAAGAUUUAUCGGGAAAGGAUUGGCCCGCGUUAGAUUAGAUAGUUGGUGGGGUAAUGGCCUACCAAGUCUACGAUCUAUAGCUGGUUUUAGAGGAUGAUCAGCAACACUGGGACUGAGACACGGCCCAGACUCCUACGGGAGGCAGCAGUGGGGAAUCUUAGACAAUGGGCGCAAGCCUGAUCUAGCCAUGCCGCGUGUGUGAUGAAGGUCUUAGGAUCGUAAAGCACUUUCGCCAGGGAUGAUAAUGACAGUACCUGGUAAAGAAACCCCGGCUAACUCCGUGCCAGCAGCCGCGGUAAUACGGAGGGGGUUAGCGUUGUUCGGAAUUACUGGGCGUAAAGCGUACGUAGGCGGAUCAGAAAGUUAGGGGUGAAAUCCCGAGGCUCAACCUCGGAACUGCCUCUAAAACUCCUGGUCUUGAGUUCGAGAGAGGUGAGUGGAAUUCCAAGUGUAGAGGUGAAAUUCGUAGAUAUUUGGAGGAACACCAGUGGCGAAGGCGGCUCACUGGCUCGAUACUGACGCUGAGGUACGAAAGUGUGGGGAGCAAACAGGAUUAGAUACCCUGGUAGUCCACACCGUAAACGAUGAAUGCCAGUCGUCGGGCAGUAUACUGUUCGGUGACACACCUAACGGAUUAAGCAUCCG